rnacentral:lncRNA from 1 species
CUCCCUCGAGGAAUCACAUGUUGUGGUUUCUUAGUGGGUAGAUUCAUGAGUUACCAUAUGGGAUUACAGGGUGCUCGCUGAGCAGCGUGACGGGGUGGGGGACACAGUCAUCCCCGGAACUGAGCACUGAGGGAGGGCACCUGGGCUGAGGGGGUCCUGGGGCGGCUGUGGGCCCAGCAGCAUCCUGGCCUGGGGCAGAGCUGACCGACCCCUUAUGUAUGACCCGGCCAGGCGGCGAGGCCAGCACCCCCAAGUCCUGGGCCGGACACCAGAUGCCAGAGCUUCACGGAGCCCCUCACCCACCUGCUCACCUCAGCGGCUGGCACCAAGGCGCCAACAGCAUCCCACAGCUGGGGAGGAAAACUGGAAUGCAGGCCCCCAGUGCCAGCAGGGCUCGCUGUGAAAGGAGAGGGCCGGGGGCCUCCCAAGGAGAACUUCGGGGGACUCUUCCCACUCCCUCACUCUGCGGCUACAGAGCCCCCCAGCCGGCUUGGGAGCGGAGAGGAUUCUGGGCUCGGCCCCUGGAGGGAGAACGCAGCCCCCCUGAGCUCUGAAGCAGCACCGGGCUGUGGCUCAGAGGGGCGGGCAGCUCCUUGUGAACGAGGCCCUUCUCAGGAGUUCCCACAGACGAAGCCAUCCCACUACACAAACAGCCCCUAACGACCCUUUUCUGAAACCAAAUUUAAAACGAGACGGCAGGAAAAUGGAAGGGGUCCUGCUCCCGCCGCGGCUUGCCUCACUCGUAAGUGUCGGCAGCUGCUGCUCGCUUCUCAAGGUCGAAAGGAGCCCCC